rnacentral:rRNA from 1 species
UACAGGGGGUGCAAACGUUGCUCGGAAUCAUUGGGCGGAAAGCGCACGUAGGCGGUUCGUUAUGUCGGAUGUGAAAGCCCUUGGCUUAACCGAGGAAGUGCAUCCGAAACUGGCGAGCUAGAGUACGAAAGAGGAUCGCGGAAUUCCCGGUGUAGAGGUGAAAUUCGUAGAUAUCGGGAGGAACACCGGUGGCGAAGGCGGCGAUCUGGGUCGAUACUGACGCUGAGGUGCGAAAGCGUGGGGAGCAAACAGG